UACGAAGGUCCCGAGCGUUGUUCGGAAUCACUGGGCGUAAAGGGAGCGUAGGCGGCGCGGUAAGUCAGAUGUGAAAUCCCGGGGCUCAACCUCGGAACUGCAUCCGAUACUGCCGUGCUAGAGGAUUGGAGAGGUAGCUGGAAUUCUUGGUGUAGCAGUGAAAUGCGUGGAUAUCAAGAGGAACACUCGUGGCGAAAGCGAGCUACUGGACAACUCCUGACGCUGAGGCUCGAAGGCCAGGGUAGCGAAAGGG
rnacentral:rRNA from 1 species